GUCCAAUCACAGCUGACUUCCGGAAAAGGGGAAGUAACCAAUGGCGUUAGAGAUAACAAUUAAAACAGCAAGCCCCGCCCCACGACUGACAAAAAUAGAAGUGUUUGCGCGAGCGGGUGAGAGAAGAUCGAGCGGGAGGAUGUGGGGGAUGAUCACGCGCGCGAAGGCUUGUAUUGCGCGCAGAGGACAAGUGACGCGCGCGCGAGUGUUUGAAAUUAGCUCGCGUGCUCCCGUUUCCUCGCGUGUAGAUCUGUUUUCCUCUCGCGGAAGUGAUUUACCGCGCGCGCCAGCAUAAGUGGUGCGCUCGGUUAUUAAUGGCAUAGAUUUGACGCCAUAAUCUACACUGUGUGUCGAUGCACCUUACGAGAGAAUAAGACAAGCAAGCGAGGCAACUGCAAUGAAGCAUCAAGAAAGACAUGAGCAGGCCAGUCACCCUGAGACUGAUAAUUCAUGAGAAGACAUUUCUGUCACUAGCAAAGUGUAUGGUGAGCAAAGAUGGUGGCCACGUUUUGGAGCAGCACCUGGGUUUUGCAGAUAGCUACUUAUUCUUUGGCUGCUUGUCUUUUUUUCCCCAUUAUGUUUCUGUUGUCUAAAGAUUCUUUGUAAGGAUGAAUCCAGAGGACACAACAUAAUGCACUGCAAAACGUCCUAAGACAGGAGAAAUGGUGAAGAUG